GUCAUUUUCCCUGAUUGAUUAGUGUCCUAUUUACGUUGCCUGUUUUUCGUCCUUAGUUGUUGUACCGUUAAUACAACUUAAGUCACAUUUGUGGUUGGUUCUGUUAUGACUGUUAUUGCCUUUUGUUUAUGCACUGUGGCUUGAUUUUUAUUUUUUUUAGAGUGCUUUUUCUUGAGGUUUAUUUUUUAACUUUACUAAGUUCCUGAUAGUCCUGGUACCCAUGUGUUUUUACCUGUUCCCCGAGCCUGUUCCUGUAUCUGUCUGCAAAGAAGCCAAGAAGAAAUAAAUGCUUCUGUGCUCCGCUGGGGAUGUCGCUCCCUAACCCUCACCCUAACCCUAACCGUCUUCCUGCAUAGGAGCUGUAUAAAGUCCAUCUUCAAAUGCAAAUUAGAAAAAGUGACAUGGAGAUGGACCUUCUACAACUUCAAAUGGAGGGAAAAAAGGAGAUAAAUAAACAAUGAACCACACUUGACUGUUCACUUUGUGCAUUAGUCUUUUAAUUAUAAGUGAUUUUGGCAGAUCACAUCAACACCCUGCAAUCUCUCUAGUCCACUGUGUUCACUUGGGGAUUGUCUUGAUCAUGUUCAUAAAGAGGGCCUUGAAAUAUGCUGGUGUUGUGUAGGUGAUCACUGGUGUGUGUGUGUGUGUGUGUGUGUGUGUGUGUGUGUAGGUGACACUGGUGUGUGUGUGUGUGUAGGUGAUCACUGGUGUGUGUAGGUGAUCACUGGUGUGUGUAGGUGAUCACUGGUGUGUGUGUGUGUGUGUGUAGGUGAUCACUGGUGUGUGUGUGUGUGUGUGUGUGUGUAGGUGAUCACUGGUGUGUGUGUGUGUAGGUGAUCACUGGUGUGUGUGUGUAGGUGAUCAGUGGUGUAUAGGUGAUCACUGGUGUGUGUGUAGGUGAUCACUGGUGUGUGUAGGUGAUCACUGGUGUGUGUGUGUAGGUGAUCAUUGGUGUGUAGGUGAUCACUGGUGAUCACAUACACGCUCACACACUGUGGACACUUUAGACACACCAAUCAGCCUACCAUGCAUGUCUUUGGACUGGGGGAGGAAACCGGAGUACCCAGAGGAAACCCCUGCAGCACAGGGAGAACAUGCAAACUCUGCACGCACAGGAGGCCCCGGUGGGAAUCGAACCCCAGACCCAGGCGAAC
ensembl:lncRNA